UGGACUGGAAGGCUAACACCAGUGCUGUGUACAGGAAGGGGAUGAGCAGGCUCUUCUUUCUGAGGAGGCUGUGAUCCUUUGAUGUAUGCAGCGAGAUGUUGGAGUAAUUUUACCAGUCUGUUGUGGCCAGCACACUGUUCUUUGCUGUGGUGUGCUGGGGGAGCAGCACCAUCAUUGGCUGCAAACAGGACACAGUGGAAACGGUGGUGGAAAGGAGGAUGCUAAAUAAGCUUUUUUCCAUCACGGAUAACCCCGAUCAUCCUCUCCACCACAUCCUCCAGGCCCAGGAGAGCACAUUCUCCAAGAGAUUCAGACAGCUCCGCUGUCACAAGGACAGAUUCAGGAAGUCAUUCCUGCCACCAGCCAUCAAGACUUACAAUAAAAAACGUGCACAUUUUCUCUCCGUGAAACACGUGCACAUUUUCUCUCCGUGACAUACGUGGAGUGAACGCCGUGUCUGCUCCGUCAAACAGCUGAUUUCAGUCACUCGGUCACGUCUGUCACUGAAUGAAACGCUGCUGCUCCCCUCCUCUUCCUCCUCCUCUCCUCACCUCCAGUGAAAACACACUGUGCUCUUAUCAUCCAUGGCUCUCAUCAUGACUCUCCCCUGCACUCAGGCUCUUGCAAACAUGGCCGCAGCGUCGGUGACGUCAUGAGCUGGCGCGCAGCUACGACAUCCGUUAUUACUAAAAUGAACAGAUCUCUGUAUCUUCAAAAUUAGGUCAACAAGAAGAUGCUUUUGAUUAAAGGUUUUUUGAAGACAAUGGUGAAGUGCUGAGGCUUUUUAAGGAGGAAGGAUUUCCUUAUGGUUUAGUAUUCUAUUCCUAACUAAUGAAAGGCAACCUGUGAAUUCAUACUUAUCAGUGUAACUUUACAUGCAUGGAGUUGAAUUAAUAAGUAACAAAUGUACCAGAAUGUCAGAAAAAGGAAAAUAACACAGAACUCUCACUUCAAAGACGUCAGUGGUCUUCUUAAAAUGUACUAUAUCGAAGGAAAUGAGAGAACUUUAUCUUAUUUUACUCUUCAAUCCAACAAAUGUUUAUCCAAGGAUUCCAAAUGUGUUUCCAGGAUUUUAGAUAUCAGUGACAAAUGCUCUGUCUGUAAGAUCGCAAUAAAAACAUGUAUUAAAGUGAUACAAUGUAGUAUCUCUAACCUUCAAAUAAUGUCUCCAAAGACAUUUUGAAUUGAUUGUGACCCUAAGCCCUGGUCAUAUGCUGUUAAAUUAAAUUUGUUCCAAUAACAUUUGUAUACGUGCAGAGGGUGAUCCACACGUAUUUCUUGAUUUGUGUUUCACGUUUUGAGAUCCACAAAUAAAUAAAAAAUCCCAUUUGAUUUUUAAAAAUAUAGAUCUGUAUUUGUAAAUAAUAUGACAUUUGUAAAACUGGAAAUUGCAUUUGUGAAUUUGGAUUCCGCAUUUGUGGAUCGCCAGCACACGCAUCCCUCUCUUUCCACAGUUAUGGAUUUUUGAGACUAGCAUUUGUCUCAAUAAUGCCUCCCUGCAUCAGCAGGUGGCACUGUUUUACAAGUAGAAUCUAAAGGCUUAGGCACAUAGAUAUACAUAAUAAAGGCUAGAUCUUCUUAUGUCUUAUGGUGCUCUGCUACUCACAUGCUUUGUAAGUAUGUACUGAUGUGUGUUUAGCUUUGAAACAGUCAUUCAUUGUUGAUAUUUCACCCUUCAGAGCGGUGAUGGGGAUAGAUACAGAGCACAUACACAUACAGUAUGUUCACUUAUGAAAUGUCCAGUGUAAUAAAGGACACCAUGUGUGUGUGUGUGUUCACAGGUGUGCUUCUAAACUC